AUGAACGCUAGCUACAGGCUUAACACAUGCAAGUCGAGGGGCAGCGGGAUUGAAGCUUGCUUCAAUUGCCGGCGACCGGCGCACGGGUGAGUAACGCGUAUCCAACCUUCCGUACACUCAGGGAUAGCCUUUCGAAAGAAAGAUUAAUACCUGAUGGUAUGAUGAGAUUGCAUGAUAGCAUCAUUAAAGAUUUAUCGGUGUACGAUGGGGAUGCGUUCCAUUAGGUAGUAGGCGGGGUAACGGCCCACCUAGCCAACGAUGGAUAGGGGUUCUGAGAGGAAGGUCCCCCACAUUGGAACUGAGACACGGUCCAAACUCCUACGGGAGGCAGCAGUGAGGAAUAUUGGUCAAUGGACGAGAGUCUGAACCAGCCAAGUAGCGUGAAGGAUGAAGGUCCUACGGAUUGUAAACUUCUUUUAUAAGGGAAUAAACCCUCCCACGUGUGGGAGCUUGUAUGUACCUUAUGAAUAAGCAUCGGCUAACUCCGUGCCAGCAGCCGCGGUAAUACGGAGGAUGCGAGCGUUAUCCGGAUUUAUUGGGUUUAAAGGGAGCGCAGACGGGUCGUUAAGUCAGCUGUGAAAGUUUGGGGCUCAACCUUAAAAUUGCAGUUGAUACUGGCGUCCUUGAGUGCGGUUGAGGUGUGCGGAAUUCGUGGUGUAGCGGUGAAAUGCUUAGAUAUCACGAAGAACUCCGAUUGCGAAGGCAGCACACUAAUCCGUAACUGACGUUCAUGCUCGAAAGUGUGGGUAUCAAACAGGAUUAGAUACCCUGGUAGUCCACACGGUAAACGAUGGAUACUCGCUGUUGGCGAUAUACUGUCAGCGGCUUAGCGAAAGCGUUAAGUAUCCCACCUGGGGAGUACGCCGGCAACGGUGAAACUCAAAGGAAUUGACGGAAGG
rnacentral:rRNA from 1 species